rnacentral:tRNA from 1 species
UGGGUUGUAUUUAAUUAUAAUAUCUGAUUUGCAUUCAGAAGGUACUCCAUAGUCUUCCUAA